UGUGAAACAAGCUCUAAAUUGGACUAUUC
rnacentral:piRNA from 1 species